AUCACUCGUUGUGGUUAGCGGGUUGGAAUUCUAAUCCAAAUCGCGUGGGUUCGAAUCCCACCAAGGAUG